rnacentral:rRNA from 1 species
UGGGAAUAUUGGACAAUGGGCGGAAGCCUGAUCCAGCAACGCCGCGUGAGGGAUGACGGCCUUCGGGUUGUAAACCUCUUUCAGUACCGACGAAGCGGAAGUGACGGUAGGUACAGAAGAAGCACCGGCCAACUACGUGCCAGCAGCCGCGGUAAUACGUAGGGUGCGAGCGUUGUCCGGAAUUAUUGGGCGUAAAGGGCUCGUAGGCGGUUUGUCGCGUCGGGAGUGAAAACACUGGGCUUAACUCAGUGCUUGCUUCCGAUACGGGCAGACUAGAGGCAUGCAGGGGAGAACGGAAUUCCUGGUGUAGCGGUGAAAUGCGCAGAUAUCAGGAGGAACACCGGUGGCGAAGGCGGUUCUCUGGGCAUGUCCUGACGCUGAGGAGCGAAAGUGUGGGGAGCGAACAGGAUUAGAUACCCUGGUAGGUCCACACCGUAAACGUUGGGCGCUAGGUGUGGGGCCUAUUCCAUGAGUUCCGUGCCGCAGCUAACGCAUUAAGCGCCCCGCCUGGGGAGUACGGCCGCAAGGCUAAAAACUUAAAGGAAUUGAC